GUGCCAGCAGCCGCGGUAAUACGAAGGGUGCAAGCGUUACUCGGAAUUACUGGGCGUAAAGGGUGCGUAGGUGGUUGUUUAAGUCUGCUGUGAAAGCCCCGGGCUCAACCUGGGAAUGGCAGUGGAUACUGGACAGCUAGAGUGCGGUAGAGGGUAGUGGAAUUCCCGGUGUAGCAGUGAAAUGCGUAGAGAUCGGGAGGAACACCAGUGGCGAAGGCGGCUACCUGGACCAGCACUGACACUGAAGCACGAAAGCGUGGGGAGCAAACAGGAUUAGAUACCCUGGUAGUCC
rnacentral:rRNA from 1 species